GACGAACGCUGGCGGCGUGCCUAAUACAUGCAAGUAGAACGCUGAAGAGAGGAGCUUGCUCUUCUUGGAUGAGUUGCGAACGGGUGAGUAACGCGUAGGUAACCUGCCUGGUAGCGGGGGAUAACUAUUGGAAACGAUAGCUAAUACCGCAUGAUAUUAAUUGUCGCAUGAUAAUUAAUUGAAAGAUGCAAUUGCAUCACUACCAGAUGGACCUGCGUUGUAUUAGCUAGUUGGUGAGGUAACGGCUCACCAAGGCGACGAUACAUAGCCGACCUGAGAGGGUGAUCGGCCACACUGGGACUGAGACACGGCCCAGACUCCUACGGGAGGCAGCAGUAGGGAAUCUUCGGCAAUGGGGGGAACCCUGACCGAGCAACGCCGCGUGAGUGAAGAAGGUUUUCGGAUCGUAAAGCUCUGUUGUAAGAGAAGAACGGGUGUGAGAGUGGAAAGUUCACACUGUGACGGUAUCUUACCAGAAAGGGACGGCUAACUACGUGCCAGCAGCCGCGGUAAUACGUAGGUCCCGAGCGUUGUCCGGAUUUAUUGGGCGUAAAGCGAGCGCAGGCGGUUAGAUAAGUCUGAAGUUAAAGGCUGUGGCUUAACCAUAGUAUGCUUUGGAAACUGUUUAACUUGAGUGCAGAAGGGGAGAGUGGAAUUCCAUGUGUAGCGGUGAAAUGCGUAGAUAUAUGGAGGAACACCGGUGGCGAAAGCGGCUCUCUGGUCUGUAACUGGCGCUGAGGCUCGAAAGCGUGGGGAGCAAACAGG
rnacentral:rRNA from 1 species